AGCCUUGGCUAGCUUUUAGAGUUUGAAAUAAUCCAGUUCCCUUCAAUUCAUCACUACCCUGACAAACACUGACAUUUCCUCAGUAAUGCUUAUUUGCCGAGCUGCAAUAGCUCAGGCUGAAAUUUUUUGUGACUACAGAAAUGCAUCUGCCUGAAAAUGUGUGCUGAGCCAUGACUAGGCCAUGGAAUGUUUUCAAGGCCAUUUUAAAUCUUGUAAGGGAAACCAUUUGCAGGACGCAGUGCAGGAUUUUCUAUAUAACCUGUUUUCUCACUCUUGCUUUCUUUGGUAAUUAUGAAAGCAGGAGUUGACACUCAGUUGUUUGGAGACUUUUUUGUAGGUAGAUGUAUUACAUACAGGAGAAUAUGAAAGUUUAAUACAGGAAAAAUAUAUUUUUUUCCAUAAUUUUAAACCAAUAUUAAGUCAAUGUCCUUCUGAUGUGUAUGUAACCUUAGCUCCCCCAGCCUUUAGUAACUUAAGAGUUUUUUGAAAAAUAAGUCACAUUAAUAAGAAUAAUCUGUUUUACUAUCGUCCCUCAUCUCUUCAGAUGAAACAGCAUCUUUUCUGCUGGCAAGGAUACAAACUGAAAUCACAAUGAGAUCCCAAACAUAUCUCUUCAAAAGGCACCUUUCUCACCUCCAGCCAGGUCUAUUAGAAAAUUGCUGACAUAUUAUAUUGGAUACACAUGUAUGUAGUAUAUACCAUAUAAUAUGGCAAUGUAUAUUUUUUAUAGAUAUGUAUGUUCUUGUCACUGAAAAAUGUGUGACAACCAUACAUCACUGCCAUUUCUCCUAGGAUUUGAAGUAUAAUUUACAUACAGUGAAAACAAACCUUUUUAGAUUCAUUCUGAGUAUCAACAAACAUUUACAUCUGUGACCACCACCACAAAUCAAGAUAUAGAAUAUUUCCAUUACUCCUAAGAGUUGCUUAAGGCCUCUGUUACUCAAUUCCUUCUGACUGCCCUCAAUUCCUGGCAAUUACUGUUCUAUCUCUUGAAUCUUGCCUUUUUCCUCAGAAUAUCAUAUAAAUGGAACCAUUCAGUAUAAAUCCUCCUAUCUUUGGCUUCUUUCUGUUAGCAUAAUUCAUUCGAAAAAUAUCAAUUUUGUCAAUUGUUUCAGUAGUGCCAUUUAUUUGUUUGUUGUUUGUUAUUAUUUUUUUUGCUGAGUAGUGUUGCAUUUAGGAAUAAAACACUUGUGUACCUCCACAAUUUGAUGAACAUUGGGUCUUUUUCUAACACAGGUUUUGUGCAAAUACAGUUUAAUUUUGCUUGAGUAAAUAGCUGGGAGUGAGAGUAAUAGAUUGCAUGGUCAGUAUUUUAAUAAGAAACUCCUCAACAGCCCACAGGCAUGCUAUCCUGAAUGCAUGUAAUCU
rnacentral:lncRNA from 1 species